CCACGGGAGGCUGCAGUGGGGAAUAUUGGACAAUGGGCGAAAGCCUGAUCCAGCCAUGCCGCGUGUGUGAAGAAGGCCUUCGGGUUGUAAAGCACUUUCAGUGGGGAAGAAAGCCUUGGGGCUAAUACCCUCGAGGAAGGACAUCACCCACAGAAGAAGCACCGGCUAACUCCGUGCCAGCAGCCGCGGUAAUACGGAGGGUGCGAGCGUUAAUCGGAAUUACUGGGCGUAAAGCGCGCGUAGGCGGUCUGAUAAGCCGGUUGUGAAAGCCCCGGGCUCAACCUGGGAACGGCAUCCGGAACUGUCAGGCUAGAGUGCAGGAGAGGAAGGUAGAAUUCCCGGUGUAGCGGUGAAAUGCGUAGAGAUCGGGAGGAAUACCAGUGGCGAAGGCGGCCUUCUGGACUGACACUGACGCUGAGGUGCGAAAGCGUGGGUAGCAAACAGGAUUAGAUACCCCGGUAGUC
rnacentral:rRNA from 1 species